rnacentral:rRNA from 1 species
UACGUAGGGUGCAAGCGUUGUCCGGAAUUAUUGGGCGUAAAGAGCUCGUAGGCGGCUUGUCGCGUCGGCUGUGAAAACUCGGGGCUCAACCCCGAGCCUGCAGUCGAUACGGGCAGGCUAGAGUCCGGCAGGGGAGACUGGAAUUCCUGGUGUAGCGGUGAAAUGCGCAGAUAUCGGGAAGAACACCCGUGGCGAAGGCGGUUCUCUGGGACGGUACUGACGCUGAGACGCGAAAGCGUGGGGAGCGAACAGG